rnacentral:rRNA from 1 species
AUUGAACGCUGGCGGCAGGCCUAACACAUGCAAGUCGAGCGGAUGAAGGGAGCUUGCUCCUGGAUUCAGCGGCGGACGGGUGAGUAAUGCCUAGGAAUCUGCCUGGUAGUGGGGGAUAACGUCCGGAAACGGGCGCUAAUACCGCAUACGUCCUGAGGGAGAAAGUGGGGGAUCUUCGGACCUCACGCUAUCAGAUGAGCCUAGGUCGGAUUAGAUAGUUGGUGGGGUAAAGGCCUACCAAGGCGAGGAUCCGUAACUGGUCUGAGAGGAUGAUAAGUCACACUGGAACUGAGACACGGUCCAGACUCCUACGGGAGGCAGCAGUGGGGAAUAUUGGACAAUGGGCGAAAGCCUGAUCCAGCCAUGCCGCGUGUGUGAAGAAGGUCUUCGGAUUGUAAAGACCUUUAAGUUGGGAGGAAGGGCAGUAAGUUAAUACCUUGCUGUUUUGACGUUACCAACAGAAUAAGCACCGGCUAACUUCGUG